rnacentral:rRNA from 1 species
UACGUAGGGUGCAAGCGUUGUCCGGAAUUAUUGGGCGUAAAGAGCUCGUAGGCGGUUUGUCGCGUCUGCCGUGAAAGUCCGGGGCUCAACUCCGGAUCUGCGGUGGGUACGGGCAGACUAGAGUGAUGUAGGGGAGACUGGAAUUCCUGGUGUAGCGGUGAAAUGCGCAGAUAUCAGGAGGAACACCGAUGGCGAAGGCAGGUCUCUGGGCCACUACUGACGCUGAGAAGCGAAAGCGUGGGGAGCGAACAGG